rnacentral:rRNA from 1 species
GUGCCAGCGCCGCGGUAAUACGGAGGGUGCAAGCGUUGUCCGGAAUCACUGGGCGUAAAGGGUGCGCAGGCGGUCUGGUAAGUCAAGUGUGAAAUGUAUCGGCUUAACCGAUACACUGCGCUUGAUACUAUCAGUCUUGAGGGCAAGAGAAGAGAGUGGAAUUCCUAGUGUAGCGGUGAAAUGCGUAGAUAUUAGGAAGAACCUCAGUGGCGAAAGCGACUCUCCGGCUUGUCCCUGACGCUGAGGCACGAAAGCUAGGGGAGCGAACGGGAUUAGAUACCCUGUAGUCC